rnacentral:sRNA from 1 species
CUGAUGCUAGUAACAUUCUGAACAUUCUGCCUGUUAAUGUGCCCAUCAAAGGAAGUAAAUAUUAAUAAAACUUCUUCAUUGAGAAUAUAACCGGUUUGGCUUUUGUACUGCCAUUAUAUUCAUUAUAUUAAUUUUCAUAUGCUGAAAAAUGUCCUCAUGCGGAAAUGUGGGGUACAUGACAGGGAAAAGUUUCUGGUUUUGGAUUACUUCUGUCAAAGCUCGGUACUCGCAGUCUUGUAUUUAAUCCUCUCCCCUUGCUACUUUCCCUACCAGGAUGUUGCUUCAGAGUGUGAAGUCAAAUGCAUGCCAACAUUCCAGUUUUUUAAGAAGGGACAAAAGGUGGGUGAGUUUUCUGGAGCCAAUAAGGAAAAGCUUGAAGCCACCAUUAAUGAAUUAGUCUAAUCAUGUUUUCUGAAAACAUAACCAGCCAUUGGCUAUUUAAAACUUGUAAUUUUUUUAAUUUACAAAAAUAUAAAAUAUGAAGACAUAAACCCAGUUGCCAUCUGCGUGACAAUAAAACAUUAAUUCUAACACUUUUUA